UUUGUCAUCUUCCUUUUUGUUGGUAUUGUGUUAUUUGCAACUGGGUUAUUGUUGGUAGCAUAGAUGACAGCGUCAUGCAAUGAGAUUAUGGUGUAGGAAGCUGUGGAUUUUCCUUUCCUUUAGGUGUUUUGCCCGGGGUUCAUUUGGUUCAACCAUUAUUGUGUGAAUGAGUUAUUGUAGAUAAAGAAAUCUCUAGUUUAA